rnacentral:rRNA from 1 species
GACCGGAGUAAUCCAGGUCAGUUUCUAUCUAUGAGAAGUUUAUUUUAGUACGAAAGGACCAAAAAAACAUGGCCAAUAAAUAUGCAAGCCAUCAUUAGAAAUUUAUGACACUUAAUAAAUACCUAAAUCACC